UGUCCGCAAGGGAAUGUAGUGAGAGGUGCUGCAUGGCUGUCGUCAGCUCGUGUUGUGAAAUGUUGGGUUAAGUCUCGCAACGAGCGCAACCCCUAUCGUCUGUUGCCAGCAUUAAGUUGGGCACUCUGACGAGACUGCCUGGGUUAACCAGGAGGAAGGUGGGGAUGACGUCAAGUCCUCAUGGCCCUUAUGUCUAGGGCUACACACGUAAUACAAUGGCGCGUACAGAGGGAAGCGAACUCGCAAGGGGGAGCAAAUCUCAAAAAGCGCGCCUCAGUUCGGAUUGGAGUCUGCAACUCGACUCCAUGAAGUUGGAAUCGCUAGUAAUCGGAGAUCAGCACGCUCC
rnacentral:rRNA from 1 species